AAACAUUGAGGAAAUGAGUCAAAAUGAUAAAUAGUUUCACAUCAUGUCAGGUCAUGUUUUACUGCCAAAUAAGUGUGGCCAGCUCAUGAGAAAAUUUUUGGUUUUCAGAGAUUUUAGGAUUUUGGAAUUGUGACUAAUGGGAUCUGUAAUAGGAAACCCAGAAAGAGAGCAUAGAACUGCUAAAAUAGGAGUCAUACUCAAAGAAUCAAGGAGGGAAAACAUUUAAGAACUGAAGAUUGUAAAACUUGGAAGCCUAAAAUUUCACGGAAUGUCAGGAAGAUUAGCUCUGAGCUGACAUCUGUGCCAAUUCUCCUCUAUUUUGUACGUGGGACGCCUGCACAGCAUGGCUGAUGAGUGGAGUAGGUCUGCACCCAGGAUCCGAACCAGCAAACUCAGGCUGCUGAAGUGGAGCACGUGGAACUUUAAGCACGCGGCCACAGGGCCGGCCCCUUCACUCUCAUCUUUAUCAUUUCCUUUCUUCUGAUUGCUUUGGGUUUAAUUCAUCCUUCUUUUUCUGGAAUUUUAAGCCAAAGGCUCAGAACAUUGAUAUGAGACAAACAGAUCAAUGAAAUAGAAAAGAGUCCAGAAAUAGACCUGCACAUAUAUGGACAACUGAGUUUUUAUAAAAGUUCAAAAAGAACUCAGUGGAAAAACGAUAGUCUUUUCAACAAAUGAUUCUAGAACAAUUGGAUAUCCAUAUGCCAAAGCAAUGAAUUUUGAUCCAUGUCUUACAAUAUAUACAAAAAUUAACUCAAACGUGUCAUAGACCUAAAUGUAAAACCUGAAACACCAAAAUUUCUAGAAGAAAACAUAGGAGAAAAUCUUUUCGACCUUGCCUUAGGCAAAGAUUCCUCAGCUACAUCAAAAGCAUAAUCCAUAAAAGAAGAAGUUGAUAAAUUGGGCUUCAGCAAAAUUAAGAACUUCUGUUCUUUGAAAGACCUUGUUAAGGGAAUGAAAAAGAGAAGCCAGAGACUGGGAGAAAAUAUUUGCAAAUCAUAUAUUUGAUAAAGGACCUGUAUUGGGAAUAGAUCCAGAACUUUCAAAACUCAGCAAUAAGAAAAAAAAUUUUUUUUCAAACAGGCAAAAUAUUUAACAGAUGCUUCACCAAAAAAGACAUGUGGAUGGCUAGUAAGCACAUAAAGAUGCUCAAUAUCAUUAGUCAUGAGGGAAAUGCAAAUUAGAACCACAAUGAGCUAUCACUACCUACCUAUCAGAAAGGGUAAACUUAAAAAGACUAACCAUACCAAGUGUUGGUGAGGUGCAGAGCGAACGAAACUCUCAUAUGCUGUUGGUGGGAAGGUACAAUGGUAAAAACACUUUGGAAAACAAUUUGACAGUUUCUUAAAAAGUUAAACAUGCACGUACCACAUGACCCAGCCGUUCCACUUCUACAUAUUUAUCCAAGAGAAAUGCAAGGAUAAGACCACGCAAAGACUUAUACAUGAAUAUACAUAGAGGCUUUGUUGAUAUUAGCCAAAAACUGGAGACAACACAAAUGUCCAUCAACUACUGAGUGGAUUAAAAAAAUCGGAAAUCUAUACAAUGCAAUACUACUCAGCAAUAAAAAGGAAUAAACUAUUGAUACGUGCAACAACAUGGAUGAAUCUCACAGCCACUACACUGAGUUAAAGAAGCCAG
ensembl:lncRNA